GCUGGCGGAGGCCUAACACAUGCAAGUCGAGCGCACUCUUCGGAGUGAGCGGCGGACGGGUUAGUAACGCGUGGGAACGUACCCAGAUCUAAGGAAUAGCCACUGGAAACGGUGAGUAAUACCUUAUACGCCCUUCGGGGGAAAGAUUUAUCGGAUUUGGAUCGGCCCGCGUUAGAUUAGGUAGUUGGUGGGGUAAUGGCCUACCAAGCCUACGAUCUAUAGCUGGUUUUAGAGGAUGAUCAGCAACACUGGGACUGAGACACGGCCCAGACUCCUACGGGAGGCAGCAGUGGGGAAUCUUAGACAAUGGGCGCAAGCCUGAUCUAGCCAUGCCGCGUGAGUGAUGAAGGCCUUAGGGUCGUAAAGCUCUUUCGCCUGUGAUGAUAAUGACAGUAGCAGGUAAAGAAACCCCGGCUAACUCCGUGCCAGCAGCCGCGGUAAUACGGAGGGGGUUAGCGUUGUUCGGAAUUACUGGGCGUAAAGCGCACGUAGGCGGAUUAGAAAGUUAGGGGUGAAAUCCCGGGGCUCAACCUCGGAACUGCCUCUAAAACUCCUAGUCUAGAGUUCGAGAGAGGUGAGUGGAAUUCCAAGUGUAGAGGUGAAAUUCGUA
rnacentral:rRNA from 1 species